rnacentral:rRNA from 1 species
AUUGAACGCUGGCGGCAUGCCUUACACAUGCAAGUCGAACGGUAACGCGGGGCAACCUGGCGACGAGUGGCGAACGGGUGAGUAAUGUAUCGGAACGUGCCCAGUAGUGGGGGAUAGCCCGGCGAAAGCCGGAUUAAUACCGCAUGAGACCUAUGGGUGAAAGCGGGGGAUCGCGAGACCUCGCGCUAUUGGAGCGGCCGAUAUCAGAUUAGGUAGUUGGUGGGGUAAAAGCCUACCAAGCCGACGAUCUGUAGCUGGUCUGAGAGGACGACCAGCCACACGGGGACUGAGAGACGGCCCAGACUCCUACGGGAGGCAGCAGUGGGGAAUUUUGGACAAUGGGCGCAAGCCUGAUCCAGCCAUGCCGCGUGCGGGAAGAAGGCCUUCGGGUUGUAAACCGCUUUUGUCAGGGAAGAAAUCUUCUGGGUUAAUACCUCGGGAGGAUGACGGUACCUGAAGAAUAAGCACCGGCUAACUACGUGCCAGCAGCCGCCGUAA